rnacentral:rRNA from 1 species
UUGAAGAGUUUGAUCAUGGCUCAGAUUGAACGCUGGCGGCAGGCCUAACACAUGCAAGUCGAGCGGUAGCACAGAGAGCUUGCUCUCGGGUGACGAGCGGCGGACGGGUGAGUAAUGUCUGGGAAACUGCCUGAUGGAGGGGGAUAACUACUGGAAACGGUAGCUAAUACCGCAUAACGUCGCAAGACCAAAGUGGGGGACCUUCGGGCCUCAUGCCAUCAGAUGUGCCCAGAUGGGAUUAGCUAGUAGGUGGGGUAAUGGCUCACCUAGGCGACGAUCCCUAGCUGGUCUGAGAGGAUGACCAGCCACACUGGAACUGAGACACGGUCCAGACUCCUACGGGAGGCAGCAGUGGGGAAUAUUGCACAAUGGGCGCAAGCCUGAUGCAGCCAUGCCGCGUGUGUGAAGAAGGCCUUCGGGUUGUAAAGCACUUUCAGCGGGGAGGAAGGCGUUAAGGUUAAUAACCUUGGCGAUUGACGUUACCCGCAGAAGAAGCACCGGCUAACUCCGUGCCAGCAGCCGCGGUAAUACGGAGGGUGCAAGCGUUAAUCGGAAUUACUGGGCGUAAAGCGCACGCAGGCGGUCUGUCAAGUCGGAUGUGAAAUCCCCGGGCUCAACCUGGGAACUGCAUUCGAAACUGGCAGGCUAGAGUCUUGUAGAGGGGGGUAGAAUUCCAGGUGUAGCGGUGAAAUGCGUAGAGAUCUGGAGGAAUACCGGUGGCGAAGGCGGCCCCCUGGACAAAGACUGACGCUCAGGUGCGAAAGCGUGGGGAGCAAACAGGAUUAGAUACCCUGGUAGUCCACGCCGUAAACGAUGUCGAUUUGGAGGUUGUGCCCUUGAGGCGUGGCUUCCGGAGCUAACGCGUUAAAUCGACCGCCUGGGGAGUACGGCCGCAAGGUUAAAACUCAAAUGAAUUGACGGGGGCCCGCACAAGCGGUGGAGCAUGUGGUUUAAUUCGAUGCAACGCGAAGAACCUUACCUGGUCUUGACAUCCACAGAACUUUCCAGAGAUGGAUUGGUGCCUUCGGGAACUGUGAGACAGGUGCUGCAUGGCUGUCGUCAGCUCGUGUUGUGAAAUGUUGGGUUAAGUCCCGCAACGAGCGCAACCCUUAUCCUUUGUUGCCAGCGGUUCGGCCGGGAACUCAAAGGAGACUGCCAGUGAUAAACUGGAGGAAGGUGGGGAUGACGUCAAGUCAUCAUGGCCCUUACGACCAGGGCUACACACGUGCUACAAUGGCAUAUACAAAGAGAAGCGACCUCGCGAGAGCAAGCGGACCUCAUAAAGUAUGUCGUAGUCCGGAUUGGAGUCUGCAACUCGACUCCAUGAAGUCGGAAUCGCUAGUAAUCGUAGAUCAGAAUGCUACGGUGAAUACGUUCCCGGGCCUUGUACACACCGCCCGUCACACCAUGGGAGUGGGUUGCAAAAGAAGUAGGUAGCUUAACCUUCGGGAGGGCGCUUACCACUUUGUGAUUCAUGACUGGGGUGAAGUCGUAACAAGGUAACCGUAGGGGAACCUGCGGUUGGAUCACCUCCUU